rnacentral:rRNA from 2 species
AACGACUCUCGGCAACGGAUAUCUCGGCUCACGCAUCGAUGAAGAACGUAGCAAAAUGCGAUACUUGGUGUGAAUUGCAGAAUCCCGUGAACCAUCGAGUUUUUGAACGCAAGUUGCGCCCGAAGCCUUUUGGCUGAGGGCACGUCUGCCUGGGCGUCACACAU